UUGCCUCAGUAACGGCGAGUGAAGCGGCAACAGCUCAAAUUUUAAAGCUGGCGUCUUUGACGCCCGCGUUGUAAUUUGGAGAGGCAUCUUCGGUUUGGGCGCCAGCCUAUGUUCCUUGGAACAGGACGUCACAGAGGGUGAGAAUCCCGUGCUUGGCUGGCUGUCCCUUUCCAUGUGAAGUGCCUUCGACGAGUCGAGUUGUUUGGGAAUGCAGCUCAAAAUGGGUGGUAAAUUCCAUCUAAAGCUAAAUAUUGGCGGGAGACCGAUAGCGCACAAGUAGAGUGAUCGAAAGAUGAAAAGCACUUUGAAAAUAGAGUUAAAAAGUACGUGAAAUUGUUGAAAGGGAAGCGCUUGAGACCAGACUCGGCCGGAGAUGAUCAGCCGUCCUUCUGGGCGGUGCACUUGUCUCCGGUCGGGCCAGCAUCGGUUGAGACGGCGGGAUAAAGGCCCGGGGAAUGUGGCUCCUUUCGGGGAGUGUUAUAGCCCCGGGCGCAAUGCCGCCAGCCUCGACCGAGGACCGCGCUUUUUGUUAGGAUGCUGGCGUAAUGGUCUUCAGCGACCCGUCUUGAAACACGGACCAAGGAGUCUAACAUCUAUGCGAGUGUUUGGGUGUCAAACCCUUGCGCGUAAUGAAAGUGAACGGAGGUGGGAACCCCUUCGCGGGGCGCACCAUCGACCGGUCCUGAUGUCUUCGGAUGGAUCUGAGUAGGAGCAUAGCUGUUGGGACCCGAAAGAUGGUGAACUAUGCCUGAAUAGGGUGAAGCCAGAGGAAACUCUGGUGGAGGCUCGCAGCGGUUCUGACGUGCAAAUCGAUCGUCAAAUUUGGGUAUAGGGGCGAAAGACUAAUCGAACCAUCUAGUAGCUGGUUCCUG
rnacentral:rRNA from 1 species